GGCCGCCUGGCGAAAUGGCAUCGCGUCUGACUACGAUGAUACUGUUUGUGCAUAGAUUCUGAAUCAGGAGAUUGCAGGUUUGACCCCUGCGGUGGUCA